UUGAAACCGAAGCUUAGAUACCCCUCAACUCCCAAUACAACCCUCUCCCCAGUUUUGACCCUGGUUUUGUGCCUAGGUGGCGCCACCUCAACCAGGCAAAUCGACAUGGGCCCACCUGUCAUGCCCUUCCCCGUCUGUUACCUCCCUCACUCGCCAGACCAGAUUGGACGUGGCUAACUAUCGGCGGCGCCAUCCACCACCGCAGCAAGUCGCCGGCGGAUCCCAGCUCGCUGCUCUGCGGCCCAUCGAGGAGAGCGAUAAGACCCUCGGCUCAACCCUCGCCCUCGCCGAACCGGCGAGGUAAGCCGCAUCGGCCUCCUCCUCUGCCGGCGGCGCUACCCGGCUGACCACGACGCAUUUCGCACACGCGAUGGGCGCAAGUACGGCCGCCGACGCCUCCGCAGGGCCGUGCUCGAUGUACCGCCGGCGGCAGCCUUCUCGGGGUCGGGGGGAUCCCAGCCUUUCUCCGGAAAUGUCUCCCCCGUCGGGAUCGAGUUCAUACCCUCAGCCAGCUCCGUCCACCUCUCGCCCGGACCACGGCGGCCUCCACUGCAGUCUUCCACGCUGAUGAUUUUGGGCAGAGAUUCAGACAGGGGACCAAACUGGACCGCCCCACUGGCUUGCAUACCAGGCUCGGAUUGUCGCGACUCUCGAGCAUCGGGUGCUCAAUGUCAAGUCUGGACACUGCCGAGCAAAUAGCGCGUUGCAAAGUACUUCAAACAGCUCCGAGCAAGGAUUAGUCUCAUGACAAUGCUGGAUGGCGCACAAGGAGGGGCAUGCCAGCGACGUGGGAGAACCCGGUGUCCGGCAGGAGCAUCGAUGUCUCUGAUGCUGCUUGGGGUAACUCCUGUCCGGCAGUUGCAGCCGACUUCCUGUCAGAAACUUCGCCCAUUGCUGUUGACCAGCACGUAGGUUUCGACAGAUGUGCUCCCAGGUUGUGGCAUAAUGUUGCCCAGUUUCCAUGUGUCGGAUUACCUGUGCUUUGCAAGUACCGGGCUGUGGUAACAAGGGCAAGGGGUAAACCAUCACACUUCUUCAGUGCCUCCGAGCCAAGCUGAUCCUCUUUAUCAACUGGUGGAUUGUCAUCUUGGAAAGCUUCCUUGAAGAAUAGCAGUCUUGAGUGUUCAUCGGCAAGAGUUUUCAUUGCGUACACAUGAUCAUGAGCUGCUGAGCUGCUGCAGGUAUUUGCUACUGAAUGGAUGGCUGUUGUCACCAGAACUCUGCCGCUCAACCCCACAAACGCAUUUUUUAUGUCAUGCCAAAAUUCUGUCCGCAUGUCAUCGAUUACAAUGAAGAACCUACCAGGAGAAGUGCAUGAUCAGACAUGGAGAGAUACCAAGUGGAAAUUAAAACAGAGUAAAUUUCAUUUUGUGUACCCACAAAGAUGACAAUAGUGAAUCUAUCUAGAAGAAUUGCUGGAUUGUGCGAACUAUGAAAGAUGCAGGCUGCUGUAGAUCGAGAUUGAAUUAUCAAACAGGUACAAUCUGAGAAUUGAGCAGAGCUUGCUGAGGUUGCCUCCGCCAUUUGUGGGGAUGUCAAGCUGGUGGAGUAUCUCCUUGAGAACAUUUGUUGGGGCCCCUUGCUCCGCUGCAGAGACCCAAGCCCGAGCUUCGUAUUGGUUCUCAAUUGUGUUGUACACACACCUGGCAAGGAGAGUCUUGCCUAUACCAUCGAAACCAACAAUGGAAAUCACCUUGAGCUGCUGUUGCUGCUGCUGGAUCAGCUCGAGAAGCUCAUCCCGAGGCGCGUCCAUGCCCACAGGU